AACGGCCGUACCAUGCUGAAUAUACCGGUUCUCGUUAGAUCACCGAAGUUAAGAUCAUUGGGCGCGGUCAGUACUUGGGUGGGUGACCACCUGGGAACACUGCGUGCCGUU